GUGGGGAAUCUUCCGCAAUGGACGAAAGUCUGACGGAGCAACGCCGCGUGAGUGAAGAAGGUUUUCGGAUCGUAAAGCUCUUUCGUUAGGGACGAACGUGCUCUUUGUGAAUAAUGAGGAGUAAUGACGGUACCUAAAUAAGAAGCCACGGCUAACUACGUGCCAGCAGCCGCGGUAAUACGUAGGUGGCAAGCGUUGUCCGGAAUUAUUGGGCGUAAAGCGCGCGCAGGCGGGAUAUCAAGUCUGUCUUAAAAGUGCGAGGCUCAACCUCGUGAGGGGACAGAAACUGGUAUUCUUGAUUGUCGGAGAGGAAAGUGGAAUUCCAAGUGUAGCGGUGAAAUGCGUAGAGAUUUGGAAGAACACCAGUGGCGAAGGCGACUUUCUGGACGAUGUCUGACGCUGAGGCGCGAAAGCUAGGGGAGCGAACGGGAUUAGAUACCCGAGUAGUCC
rnacentral:rRNA from 1 species